rfam:Picea glauca, whole genome shotgun sequence.
UUAACGGUGUUUUUAGACACCACCUUUUAUGUCUUUGAAAUUGUAU